UAGACAUGCAAGUCGAGCGAACAGAAGGGAGCUUGCUCCCGGAUGUUAGCGGCGGACGGGUGAGUAACACGUGGGUAACCUGCCUGUAAGACUGGGAUAACUCCGGGAAACCGGAGCUAAUACCGGAUAGUUCCUUGAACCGCAUGGUUCAAGGAUGAAAGACGGUUUCGGCUGUCACUUACAGAUGGACCCGCGGCGCAUUAGCUAGUUGGUGGGGUAAUGGCUCACCAAGGCGACGAUGCGUAGCCGACCUGAGAGGGUGAUCGGCCACACUGGGACUGAGACACGGCCCAGACUCCUACGGGAGGCAGCAGUAGGGAAUCUUCCGCAAUGGACGAAAGUCUGACGGAGCAACGCCGCGUGAGUGAUGAAGGUUUUCGGAUCGUAAAGCUCUGUUGUUAGGGAAGAACAAGUGCGAGAGUAACUGCUCGCACCUUGACGGUACCUAACCAGAAAGCCACGGCUAACUACGUGCCAGCAGCCGCGGUAAUACGUAGGUGGCAAGCGUUGUCCGGAAUUAUUGGGCGUAAAGGGCUCGCAGGCGGUUUCUUAAGUCUGAUGUGAAAGCCCCCGGCUCAACCGGGGAGGGUCAUUGGAAACUGGGAAACUUGAGUGCAGAAGAGGAGAGUGGAAUUCCACGUGUAGCGGUGAAAUGCGUAGAGAUGUGGAGGAACACCAGUGGCGAAGGCGACUCUCUGGUCUGUAACUGACGCUGAGGAGCGAAAGCGUGGGGAGCGAACAGGAUUAGAUACCCUGGUAGUCCACGCCGUAAACGAUGAGUGCUAGUGGUUUAG
rnacentral:rRNA from 1 species